rnacentral:rRNA from 1 species
GAUGAACGCUGGCGGCGGGCCUAAUACAUGCAAGUCGAACGAACAGACGAGGAGCUUGCUCCUCUGACUUUAGCGGCGGACGGGUGAGUAACACGUGGAUAACCUACCUAUAAGACUGGGAUAACUUCGGGAAACCGGAGCUAAUACCGGAUAAUAUAUUGAACCGCAUGGUUCAAUAGUGAAAUACGGUUUUUCUUUCGCUUAUAGAUGGACCCGCCCCGCAUUAGCUAGUUGGUAAGGUAACUGCUUACCAAGGCGACGAUGCGUAGCCGACCUGAGAGCGUGAUCGGCCACACUGGAACUGAGACACGGUCCCGACUCCUACGGGAGGCAACAGUAGGGAAUCUUACGCAAUGGGCGAAAGCCUGACGGAGCAACGCCGCGUGAAUGAUGAAGGUCUUAGGAUCGGAAAACUCUGUUAUUAGGGAAGAACAAAUGUGUAAGUAACUAUGCACGUAUUGACGGUACCUAAUCAGAAAGCCACGGCUAACUACGUG